GACUCUAUGGCGUAACGGUAGCGCAUCCGCUUUGAUUUGAUAUUGCACCACGAAUUUGUGCGGAAGGCGUCGGUUCGAAUCCGAUUCGAGUCG